AACGAACGCUGGCGGCAUGCCUAACACAUGCAAGUCGAACGAGACCUUCGGGUCUUGUGGCGCACGGGUGCGUAACGCGUGGGAACCUGCCCUUAGGUUCGGAAUAACUCCCCGAAAGGGGUGCUAAUACCGGAUCAUGUCUUCGGACCAAAGAUUUAUCGCCUUUGGAUGGGCCCGCGUUGGAUUAGCUAGUUGGUAGGGUAAAAGCCUACUAAGGCGAGGAUCCAUAGCUGGUCUGAGAGGAUGGUCAGCCACACUGGGAGUGAGACACGGCCCAGACUCCUACGGGAGGCAGCAGAGGUUAAUAUUGGACAAGGGGGGAAAGGCUGAUCCAGCAAUGCCGCGUAAGUGAUGAAGGCCGUAGGGUAGUAAAGCUCUUUUACCCGGGAUGAUAAUGACGGUACCGGGAGAAUAAGCUCCGGCUAACUCCGUG
rnacentral:rRNA from 1 species